GACGAACGCUGGCGGCGUGCUUAACACAUGCAAGUCGGGCGAUGAAGUUCCUUCGGGAAUGGAUUAGCGGCGGACGGGUGAGUAACACGUGGGUAACCUGCCUCAUAGAGGGGAAUAGCCUUCCGAAAGGAAGAUUAAUACCGCAUAAGAUUGUAGUAUCGCAUGAUACAGCAAUUAAAGGAGCAAUCCGCUAUGAGAUGGACCCGCGUCGCAUUAGCUAGUUGGUGAGGUAACGGCUCACCAAGGCGACGAUGCGUAGCCGACCUGAGAGGGUGAUCGGCCACAUUGGGACUGAGACACGGCCCAAACUCCUACGGGAGGCAGCAGUGGGGAAUAUUGCACAAUGGGGGAAACCCUGAUGCAGCAACGCCGCGUGAGUGAUGAAGGUCUUCGGAUUGUAAAACUCUGUCUUCAGGGACGAUAAUGACGGUACCUGAGGAGGAAGCCACGGCUAACUACGUGCCAGCAGCCGCCGUAAGAC
rnacentral:rRNA from 1 species